UUUAAAAUUGGGAAUUGUACUCCUCAGCCUAGGACUCAUUAUUUACCUUAUAAUAGGCUGUUUCACUUAAACACUGUAGUAAAACUAUAGUUGAGAGUACUAAUGUUUUUGCCAUGAAAGCCCAGCCAGGCCUGCAUGAGUCACUCAGACAGUUACAAAGCAGUUCAACUCUUCUCACCUUGGGAUGCACUCCCAUUUCCACUACGUCCUCUGUUGGCAGGAAGAAGCCAGAGCGAUUUACAACCUUUUCCCAUCUUCAUAGCCUACAUCGUAAGACGAGGGCAUUAUAAAACCCAAAGGGAAGGAUUGAAACUGCCUUUGCAAUAUUAUGACUGAGACAGUGAAAGAGAUCUAAGUAUACUGACUCCAUCUUGUUUCUAACCUCCAAGCUGUCCUUGUAGGCUGGGCAUAGACUGAACUAACUUUGGGAAAAAACUUAGUUUAUAGUUUAAACAAAGAUGGUAACAGCCCUUUCCCAAAGCAGGCCUCCUUCUUGCAUGGGAACUAGAUUGCCUUUGUAGGACUAACAUUAGCUGCAAGAUUAGAAAUUAUGGUUUAGGAGUCAUGCAGCUGGAGGCUACAAGAUUCUGAGCCUCCCUAAAUAGCUUCCAAGAUCAGAGCUUGAGAUAUUUUGCAGACCCUGCACUUAAUGGAUCAGCUGGCACCACUAAGAUCAAUAAACUGGCUCAUCUGAUCUUGUGACUCCCACCCAGGAACUGACUCAGUGCAAGAAGACAGGUCCGACUCCCUAUGAUUUCAUCUCUGACCAAUCAGCACUCCUGGCUCACUGGCUUAGUUAUCUUUAAAAACUCUGCUCCCCAAAUGCUCAGGGAGACUGAUUUGAGUAAUAAUAAAACUCUGGUCUCCCACAUAGCUGGCUCUGCGUGAAUUACUCUUUCUCUAUUGCAAUUCACCUGUCUUGAUGAAUCGGCUCUGUCUAGGCAGCAGGCAAAGCAACUUUGGGUGGUUACACAAUGAAAAUAUUAAGAAAAAAUUUUAAAUGUUUUACCGAGUUCAAAAC
rnacentral:lncRNA from 10 species